AUGAACACAUCACGAGCAAAGAGACAAUUCAGAUAUGAGAAUGUGUGGUCAUCGCAUGUGGACUAUGACCGUAUUGUUACUGCUGCGUGGCGAGAGGCAAAUAGAGGACCGGGCCUCCAAGGUAUCGCGGACUCACUGAAUCAUCUCAAGGCAACACUUGAACCGUGGGGGACUCGUGAGUUUGGCUGCUUAACUCACCGAGUCAGACAGUUGCAGAAAAGACUCGAUAAUUUACGGAGUCGUUCGGUGGGUCGAGGGCCAACUGAGGAGGAAAAAACAGUGGCACGACAGCUGCGCAAGGCCCUCCACCAGGAGGAGAUCUGGCUAUGGCAGAGGUCCCAUGUGCCCUGGCUGAGAGACGGCAAUCGCAGCACUGCAUAUUUUCAAGCUCAGGCGGCACAAAGAAAACAUAUUAACAUAAUACAAGGUUUAUGUCGUGCGGAUGGCUCGGUUUGCGCAAAUGAAGAGGAAGAUAAGAGCGAGGUUUAG
rnacentral:rRNA from 1 species